rnacentral:rRNA from 1 species
UGAGCCUGCGUCUGAUUAGCUAGUUGCGGAGUAUAGCCCACCAAGGCGACCGAUCAGUAGCUGGUCUGAGAGGAUGAUCAGCCACACUGGAACUGAGACACGGUCCAGACUCCUACGGGAGGCAGCAGUAAGGAAUAUUUGCUCAAUGGGAGAAUCCUGAAGCAGCAACGCCGCGUGAGGGAUGAAGGGCUUUUGCUCGUAAACCUCUGUAGUGAGGGAAAAAAUUUCCAUUCUAUGGAAUAUGAUGGUACCUCAAAAGUAAGCCCCGGCUAACUACGUG